GCCAGCGCCACAGCAUUGGUUAAACUAAAGCAUGCUCAACCCCACCCACAUCGUCUGUGUUCUUAACCAGUGAUAUAUCGGAUGGAGGUGGUGUUCGAAUGUAACAGCUCGGUUUAGUAAUUUGGAGAAUUAAGCCCUUACCUGUUUUUGAUAAGGCUAUCAGUGAAUUAAUGAAUUGCAUAAGGGGGAUUGUCAAGCCGGUGAAACACUUUGUAGAUGUUAGUAAUAAAAACAGGCACGAGUGUGUUUUUGUUUUUACUUGAUUGUACUGGCCUGAUGUAUCUCAGAUCUAAUAUACAAGGUUUUGCUGUCGGUAUUUAGUAAAACGGAAAGCACAUUUUUCAGUGGUCGCUUGGAGUGUUCAGACAGGUUAAUACUUUAAUUAAACGAACGUAGAAGGACAGAUAGUAAACAUGGAAAUAAUGUAAUAAUUGUAUUUUUUUUUUCUUUUCCCAGCUACUUUAAAAUAUAGUUACUGUAGCUAACGAUUGGUGCACUUAUAAACGUUGCCCCCUCAGAACAAGCGCAGUAGAAACUGGAAGGGACGGGCGAUACACAAUGCAAACAGAAACAGGAUUCCAGACACAAGGAAGGUACCAUUGUUCAAUGCAUCCGGAAGCCACAUCUUUCAUAAGAUAUCCUUCUGCCUGGUGUUGAUGGCUGAAGUGUAAUGCUAGCUCCAGGAAUCAGCCUAUUUUGCCUUCCUGGCACAUCAGCACACACAACGGCUGCAAUGCUGGCUCCAGGGAUGAACCACUGUGCGGCCUCCCUAGCGCAUCAGCAUGACAACUGUCUGGACUGAGCUGAGUAGGGUACUUCUCUGGGGUCUUCAAGUGGGCACCUUUGUUAUUUGGACCAUGACUUCAUUACCAUGUCAAUUCUGGGAAAGGACCAUGAUUUAGCACUGCAGUUGGCUGGAUCCAUAUAGAGUUGAUGAGACACUGAAUGAAUAGUGAAUGGAACCACUGCUGGAAUCUGCCUCCAGCUUUGUUCCCAGGAUGGCCGAUGAAAAGAACCUGAGGGUGGUGCCAUGCAACAACUGCUCAGGUUUGCAGCUGGUUGAGACAGAGGCACAUAACCUCCUCGCUCCUGAGACCAGGUUUGUUAAGAGAAAAUGAAAUUUGGCAGUGAAACGUGUUAUUUGCUUUACAUGAGACCACAUAAACAUACAAAAUAUGGGACCAAUAUUUGGGAUCCCGAAAUACUGAACGUUCAGUAUUCUGAAUGUCCCUGCACGAGGCCUCUAUAGCUGAUGGGAGCGCAGGCAAUUUCAAAUGUAAAAUGUUUGGUAUACUGAACAAAAGGACCAAGGAGGAUAAGGGUCACAGGGUUACACAGUUGCUGAACUAGGACUGCUGAGGCUCUGGACCUUAGCCCUUUACUCAGAUCAUUGGACCUCAGUUUGUUUAAGCGAAUUGGUACCCCUGAUAAAACAGUAUAAUUGGAAAUAUUGAAGUGCAUUUUGUGGGAAUAUUAACUUUUUUGUGGUUUGGGUGCGGGUCAGGAAAUGUAACCCUUUUUUGGGGUUUUGUAAACCUUUGUGAAUUUUGAUAAGCUGAACAAAAGUGUUAUCUGUUCAUAGCAUCUUUUCUUUAUCCUUUCACAGGUGUACAGUAUAAAUGUAUAGGUAAAGUAUCAACAAUCAAUCAAUCAAUCCUUAUUUUAUAUAGUGCCUUUCAUAGUGGACCACCAUCACAAAGCGCUCUACAAAUGCAGUAACAAGAAAAUCCAUAAUACUUUAAAUAUAGAGAAAUGCAUGACAUGCUAUACAGUAAAAAAAAAAAAAAAGCAUAAUACAUUAAAUACAGUGGAAAGUGCAUAAUACAUGAAAUAGUAGCAGCAACACAACAGCUAAUAGCAGAUAUCAGGCUUAAAGAGCAUGGAGAGCAAGAGAGAACAGGUGGGUCUUGAGGGUUGAUUUAAAGUGAGCGAUGGUGGGAGCAUCACGCACCAAAGCUGGGAGAGAGUUACAAAGAGUUGGAGCGAUGAAGCUAAAUGAGCGUUCUCCAAGUGUGGUGCACUUUUGCUUGGGGAUAACAAGCAGGCCAGAGCCGUAGGACCUCAGCUUGCGGGCAGGGACAUAGCGUGAGGAGGUACUUGGGACCUGUGUGAUGGGGUAUUGUAGGUGAGCAGGAGUUUUGAAAAUAAUCCUGAACUUUUACAGGUAGCCAGUACAGCAAGACGGGAGGUGAUGUGAUCACGUUUUUUACAUCUGGUAAGGAUCCUGGCAGCGACAUUCUAAACUAGCUGCAGUUGGUUUAUGGUGCGUGCCGGGAGACCACCAUAUAGAGAGUUGCAGUAGUCUGGUCGAGUCGAGGAGAGAAAUGCAUGACAGAGUAUCUCCACAUCUGGGAGGGAAAGCUAGGGACGGACUUUGGAGAUAAUUUGAAGAUGGUAGUAGGAAGAUUUGACCAUGGAGGAGAUGUGGGCAUCAAAGGAGAGGUUGCUGUCAAGAAGUACACCAAGGCUUCGUACUGUGGGGGAAGGCAGCAGGAGACAGUUUCCGAGGUUCAGGGCAGCUAUAUUGAGAUUCUUAAGUUGAGUUUUAGAUCUUAAUAGAAGGAGUUCAGAUUUGCUAGUGUUCAGAACUGAAGAAAAUCGAGAGUUUUUUUUUUCGAGAGUUUUGGAGAGAAAAGGGAGAUUGGCGAUAGGACAGAAAUUAGAUAAGUCAUCUGGGUCAAGGGAGGGUUUUUUGAGUACUGGCAUAACUAGGGAAAGCUCAAGGGCAGCAGGAACCGAACCAGAGUCCAGGGUCAGGUUGAAAGUGUGCAUAAUGGAAGGAGCAACAUAAGAGGCACAGAGACGGACAAGGUUAGUCGGCCAGGGGUCCAGGGGGCACAUGGCAGUAGUUGAUUUCAACAGUAAACCGGAAACAUCAGCAAUGGAGAGAGGAGAGAAAGAGGAGAGGGCUGGAUGGGCAACCGGAGGAGCGUCAAUGUGGUCAAGUAAUAAACUGGGUUUGUGGUGGGAGAGUGUAGAAUAGAUCUUGUCAAUUUUGUUCCGAAAGAAAGGGGAGAAAUCAUGACAGGUAAGAGAGGAGGAUGAACGGGAGAUGGAUCUGUCGGUGGCUGGAUUUGGUCAAUGGUCUUGAAGAGAACAUUGGGUUUAUCGUGUCCCAUAGUUAUGAUUUCAGAGAACUACAUCACCCUGCCCACGAGAAGCGCACACCUGCAGCUCAUGAGACGGUCGGUCCAGAUCUCUCUGUGAAGCAUUAGUCCAGACGACCUCCACUUGCGCUCGAGCUUGCGUCAGGCAGACUUAAGCACUUGAAGUUCGAGAGAGUACCAUCUUUCUUGACGGUUCUGGUUGUAAGCCUAGCAACAGUGUCGAUGAUGUGAGUAAGGGUGGCGUUGUGGAGGGUAACCGCAUCAUCAACUGAGACAACAAUGCAUCUAGACACAAUGUCAACUGUCAAUCAAAAUACAAUGACUGCGUAGAUCUGUUUCUUUCCCCUUACAUUCCUGAGAAUGUUUAGCCUUUAUAUGUUAAACUACUGUAUGUGUCAGUUACGCUCUAGUAAUCUUGCUUUCUGAGUAGAAGCUUCAGGCUGAAGGGAGGGAAGGGACGCAAAGCAGAGCAAGAAAAGCCUGGGGUUUGUUAAAUCAUUGCUUAAUACAACCAGUGGCUGUACAUGCAAAGUUAGGGUUAUCAGGAUUAUGUAAAACUAAGUCCCCAUUACCACCGUUCACCAGAUGCACAAAAAAAUGAUGCCUCAAAUACCACCCAGAUUCAGAUACUUUUUCUAAAUAAUAUCCUAACUGUAACAUAUAUACAGACCGACACCACAUAUCCACAGAUUCUGACACUGAUUUUCUUUUAAGAAUGUGCUUAGCAAGUUUUAUCACAGGACGAUUUGUGCUCUAGAUAUUUGUAGAACUGUAUAGUCAAGAGUAUUUUUUUUUUUUGCAGUGUGGAAGGAUCGUCCUUCGGAUGAGACAUAAAACCAAGGUCCUAUUGUAAGUGACUGCAGCAACAGUUGUGAUGCAUAGUUCACCCCCUAGUCUCUGUAAGUCGCUUUGGAUAAAAACGCCUGGUAAAUGACUAAGUAAUAAUAAUAAUUUGUAAUGAUGUCAAUAUUCCACUUUCUGAAAAAAAUAAAAAAGUUCCUCCCAUAAAGAAUAACCAAGGCAAUUCUGAAUUCAGAACUAGGAACCUAAGGUGGGAAGGCAAGCUCUCUACAACAUUAGACCAUGUAAUGCUCCACAAAGCAACGUCAGUAGUCAUAAAUCUUACUGAGUUCUGAAUAAUGAAACUUACAACAUUUCUUAAAUGUAAGGCAGAUGGAAUUUUUUAUUUUAAGCUAAAAUUUCCAACUCCUCAACUGUGGAUCAAGGACUCUUGCACUCUUGACUCUUGGAUAUUGCAGACCCUCUUAAAAAAACAAAAACAGUCCUGCUGGUGGGAAAGACAAAGACAUACACAGCUGUCUCAAGUCACGAUACACAGCACAAUACUGUAGACUGUUCACUUUGUUUAUUCAUUUUUAAAGUAACCCGCUGGUAUCAGUAAAAAGGUUUGGUGAUGUUAUUAUCCCAAUAUGUUUAUAACUUAUCUUGUUUGUAUGCAAAAUCUAACGGGAUUCAAGCUGCUUGUUUGUGGAAUCGAUCUCCAAAUCCUCUAUGUAUUCUGGAUGUAAAUCAGUUUUGAGCUGGACUUGUGUUGGGAGUUUAAUCAAAUUUGUUCCUUUGAACCUGAUUGUAAUAUAUAUAUAUAUAUUGAGAUGAGGUGUACAUGUGCACCAUAACUUGGGGGUUUUAGGACCGUGGUGAGUAGCCAUUUUGGGACCCACAUGGGAGGUCAGAAAAUAGAUGCUAGUUUCCAAACAAUUGGACAGAUGCAGCUGGUUAAGCUGUAAUCACAGGUGUAUAUAAACUGAAGGUGUUUGGAGAGGAGAGAAGACACUACCAGGAAAAGGAUAUGUGGUGUGGUUUUUGAGGAAAAGAAACUUAAAACAAGGAACAAAAGGAGAUUGCCUUCCCUGGCUUUAGAGUUAAAAGAAAAACAGGGUUAAGUAGUGCUCCAAGGGAGCUAGGAUUUUGUUUGCUGUUGUUGUUUUUGUUUCAUUGUAAAUAAUAUAAGUGUGCAACCUGCGCUAAAAUAUAAACACAGACUCUGAGACUUUCUUGGUGCACCCACACAAAAGAGGUGAUAGAGCCCCAGGCCAUCCUGACUAGAGGGGCUUCACCUAGGGUUGCCACCUGGCCCUAGGAACACUUUGGG